ACUACUACGAAACUUCAUCUCCCCCUUUCUUCUCUAUCUCUCUCACCUGCAUACUCACAAAUACCUCACAUGCUUGAUAUCUUUGGAACUAUUUCAAAUCUACUUCCAUAUCUUCAUUCGAUCAUCAAACUAUACAAGAAAUAUGAUCAAAUAUCUCACUACUGAAUUUAUUUUUAGAUAACACUCUUCACAUGCCCCUUCAUCUUCUCAACUCCCUCUCUCUCGUGUUCCUUUAGAUCACAGAAAAACCCAGCAACAACCGAAGUUGUUGCCUUCUUCAACCCAACCUCUCGUAUUCCUUCCAUUUUAAUGGCAGACUGACCGAUAACCACAAAACCACCGCCAUGGCCAGUUGAAGCAAGCCUCCGAUCGCAAACAGGACCGUCGACACUGCUCACUGGAGAAGAAGAACCGGCGACAACCACUAUUUACCCUCCUGUCUUCAUCUCUUUUCAACCUUCAAGCAGUUUCUCGUCAUUCCUUACUCCUCCAUUGAUCUCAAGUAACCAUAUAUCAUUCUUUUCUAUUCAGAACACAUUCAAAAAUCCCGAAGAACAGCCAACACCUGCCAUGGUGGCCGGUGGCAUGAACAGUCCCGACAAGAUAAUCCCGAUGAUGGGUUCGAUACUAAACAAACAUAUAUAGUUUCCUUAUUACGUUACCUUUCUGUUUCUAGGUGUAUAAGUCGACUCCAAGAAUCCCGGAGCAAAACCCGCUCAAAACUCGAUCUUCCCGACACUUCCCAACUCUCGCUACUAAUGUAAAUAAGAAGUCGAAGGUAUGGCGUCGGUGCUAAGGAAAUAUUAUUUCCUUACUAUUAAAUAAUUGUGAUAUGUUUCUUUUUCUUUUUAUCGUCAAAUGUUAAAGUAUUGUAAUGCUUUCUUUUUUUUUUAAAAAAAAGAAAUUUGAAAGUUUGUAAUAUAUUAAUUAUUGUACUUUAAAUGUUCAACAUAUGUGGUUGACUGUGA